rnacentral:rRNA from 1 species
AUUGAACGCUGGCGGCAUGCCUUACACAUGCAAGUCGAACGGUAACGGGCCUUCGGGCGCCGACGAGUGGCGAACGGGUGAGUAAUGCAUCGGAACGUACCUUUCAGUGGGGGAUAACGUAGCGAAAGUUACGCUAAUACCGCAUAUUCUGUGAGCAGGAAAGCAGGGGAUCGCAAGACCUUGCGCUGAUUGAGCGGCCGAUGUCAGAUUAGCUAGUUGGUGAGGUAAAGGCUCACCAAGGCGACGACCUGUAGCGGGUCUGAGAGGAUGAUCCGCCACACUGGAACUGAGACACGGUCCAGACUCCUACGGGAGGCAGCAGUGGGGAAUUUUGGACAAUGGGGGCAACCCUGACCCAGCCAUGCCGCGUGAGUGAAGAAGGCC